UCAAAAGAGGAAAGAUUUGACUGAUUGCAACCUCUUAUGCUGAAACAUCGGCGUAAAAAAAUGCUAAAGGCAGUACU
rfam:Leeuwenhoekiella blandensis MED217 scf_1099517004314 genomic scaffold, whole genome shotgun sequence.